AGAGCUUCUAUUUCUGAUCCCCCCCCCCCGACCUCUCGGAGGUCUGACUGACUCACAGACUGGACUUAAUUACCGGGGCAACUGUAUAAAUAGAGGUAGGUGUGUGUGUGUGUGUGUGUGUGUGUGUGUGUGUGUGUGUACAUACAUGUUAUGUUAAACCUGUACACAUGGACACAUAUCAACAGUAACAGUCCAUUAAGGCAGUUCCAGUCUGAUACUUUCCGUUUCACAUCAUGUUUUAACACACAACGUUUUGAGCUCCAAGCCUGUGUUUGCUGGUCUGAGCAGCGGGAAUUUCAAUUUGAAAAAAUGUGUAUGUGUUAGAUAGUCUCAUGUUGUUCGAGGAUGUGGCGUUAGUAUAUCCCGAUCUCCUUGCCAAAAAAGAGGGAGUGGUUUCCAUGACAGCUGCUGGUAGUUGCAACUGGUAUGGAAGCGUCCAUGCCACUGUGUCUUCAUGUAACAUCACGUGCCUCUUGACAGAAUGUAAGAACUUGGAUGGGGUUUCCCGAAAUGCUCUGCAGUGUCAAACUACUGUACUAUGGGGGAGGCAAGUGAUGUUCACCAUAGCCAUACUAAAAUCAAAUAUAUAUAUAUAUUUUUUUCACCCUUGAGAUUUAUAAUAAUGUAUGGAAAAAUGCAGGUUUCCGCAAUGAUUAUUCAAGCGCGUAGUAUAGCCACAUACAGUGGGGGGACGUGCGCCCCCCCUCCCCCCCCCACACCCACACACACACUUUUCUAAUCUCAUAUUAUAUUUCACAUUAUGACAUGUUUAACAACAAGGACCAGACAUCGAUUUCCAUAAAUGAUAGAUCAUAUCUAGUGUCAGAUCCUACCACUAAACGUUAAGCCACUAUAUGAGUUUAACAAGUCAACCAUUGACAGAAAGUUACACAGAGGAUCACAGUUUGACAAUACAGCCUCCUAACGACGCUUCCAGGCCACAAUAUGUGAAUAUAACUUUGACUCAACCUUCUUGACAAACUUGUACGUUCUGCUGAAUUUAUGCAAACAUGUUUUCAAACAUUGUUAGUGGUCUGCUCAUGUGUACUUGAACAUAUAGGCCUGCUACAAAUUGAAUGGAUAAGUUAAUGUGUUAACUUAUUAAUGUGUGUUAAUAAAAUGCUG
ensembl:lncRNA